rnacentral:tRNA from 1 species
GGAGAGGUGGCCGAGCGGCUGAAGGCAACGGUUUGCUAAACCGUCGUAGGGGCGAAUACCUCUACCGCGGGUUCGAAUCCCGCCCUCUCCG